rnacentral:rRNA from 1 species
UUAUGAUUUAAAUUUAUUUAACUUAAGUAGUAAUAGUUAUGAUCUUGAAACUUAAAGAAUUUGGCGGUAUUUUAGUCUAUUUAGAGGAAUCUGUUCUGUAAUCGAUAGUCCACGUUGAACCUUACUUAAUAUUUUUAUUUGUAUAUCGCCGUUUACUGAAAAUCUUUUUAGGGAAAAAUUUUCUUGAAAUAUAAUUUUAUAAUAUUUCAGGUCAAGGUGCAGUUUGUAUUUAAGUGGUAAUGGAUUACAAUAAUAAAAAUUAAUAUGAAUUAUAAUUUGAAAUUAUUAUAUGAAGGUGGAUUUAAUAGUAAUAUUUAAAAUAUUAUUAAUGUGAUUGAAGCUCUAGA